rnacentral:lncRNA from 10 species
AUGUGUCCCCGUAUUUCAAGACAGAGCCUGUGCGGACACAGGUGCACUUGGAAGGAAACCGCCUGGUGCUUACAUGCAUGGCCGAGGGCAGCUGGCCACUGGAGUUCAAGUGGCUCCACAACAACAGGGAGCUGACCAAGUUCUCCCUGGAAUACAGUAGAAACGGGGUUUCACCGUGUUAGCCAGGAUGGUCUCGAUCUGCUGACCUCGUGAUCUGCCCAUCUCAGCCUCCCAAAGUGCUGGAAUUACAGGCGUGAGCCACCGCGCCUAGCCAAUAAU